UACGAAGGGGGCUAGCGUUGUUCGGAAUCACUGGGCGUAAAGGCGCGUAGGCGGCCGAUCAAGUCGGGGGUGAAAGCCUGUGGCUCAACCACAGAAUUGCCUUCGAUACUGUUUGGCUUGAGACCGGAAGAGGUUAGUGGAACUGCGAGUGUAGAGGUGAAAUUCGUAGAUAUUCGCAAGAACACCAGUGGCGAAGGCGGCUGACUGGUCCGGUUCUGACGCUGAGGCGCGAAAGCGUGGGGAGCAAACAGG
rnacentral:rRNA from 1 species